rnacentral:rRNA from 1 species
GACGAACGCUGGCGGCAUGCCUAACACAUGCAAGUCUAGGGGUAGCAAUACCACUGGCGCACGGGUGAGUAACACGUAGGUUAUCUGCCCCCAUCACAGACAUAACCCCGGGAAACCGGGGCUAAUAUCUGAUGAGGUCGUGAGAUCAAAGCUUCGGUGGAUGGGGAUGAGCCUGCGGCUGAUUAGCUAGUUGGUGAGGUAAUGGCUCACCAAGGCGACGAUCAGUAGCUGGUCUGAGAGGACGAACAGCCACACUGGAACUGAGACACGGUCCAGACUCCUACGGGAGGCAGCAGUGAGGAAUAUUGGUCAAUGGGAGCAAUCCUGAACCAGCAAUGCCGCGUGUGGGAUGACAGGGCUUCGCCUUGUAAACCACUGUCGGACGGGACGAAAGGAGGCCUCGGGCCUCUGGGACGGUACCGUCAAAGGAAGGGUCGGCUAACUACGUGCCAGCAGCCGCGGUAAU